rnacentral:rRNA from 1 species
GACGUAGGGCGCAAGCGUUGUCCGGAAUUAUUGGGCGUAAAGAGCUCGUAGGCGGCUUGUCACGUCGGGUGUGAAAGCCCGGGGCUUAACCCCGGGUCUGCAUUCGAUACGGGCUAGCUAGAGUGUGGUAGGGGAGAUCGGAAUUCCUGGUGUAGCGGUGAAAUGCGCAGAUAUCAGGAGGAACACCAAUAGCGAAGGCAGCUCGCUGGGACGUUACUGACACUGAGGCGCGAAAGCGUGGGGAGCGAACAGG